ACGCACUUUGGUCCCCAAACAAGAAGAUCUCAAAAAGGAAAUGUCAACUUCAAAAACAGUUGAGAAGCUCUCUGAGUUGACCUCGGCGACCCCUCGACCUUCAUCAGCAACCCCAAGGUCAAACAGUGUAUUAUCAGCCAGUCUCCAAAGUAGUCGAGGACAUACCAGUUCUAAUGCUGUACUCAAUCACUGUAGCAAACUCAUACAUAUACUACAAGGUCGUUCAAGCUGAAGGUCACAGGGUCAUUCAAGAGUGGUCAAAGAUCAAAUAAAAAAAAUGAUAUAUGGAGGGUUGAAGCUGAUAUUAGAAAGUUUUUCUACAGAUUAUAGGAUUUAAAAAUUCUUGGCCAGUUGAAAUUGUUGAAUAACUGAUAUUUUGAAUAUUUAAGACACUUUAAGUGUAUGAAAUAACAUUCUUUUUUGUGUUUACAUCAUUUACAAUAGCACAAAGUGCUGGGAACAAGUUUUUGACAUUGCCUGUUUUAAGAUCUUCCAUCUACCAAGUUUCACCACAUCUGAAAAUUUUCUUCUAUCAACCAUAAAGGAACAUUGCUAUGAUUGUCUUUUUUGAAAAAUAAGUGUCUGAACAAACGUUUUCCUUGUGGUUACCAUGCCUACUGAACUUGAUGGAAUUAUUGAAAAAAUGGUUAAAAUUUGCAAGCCAGAUUUCGAAGUUGUUCAUCAGAUAGAGAGAUAAUGUAAAUUUGGUUAAAAUAUUCAAUUUGUUACAAGACAUGGCAGCUAUAUAAAAAAUACUUUGAUAUGUAAUCUUUUUUAUAUGAAUUGCUGAGAAAGUAGAAAGACUUGUUGGCUGAUGAUUUUGAUUUGUCAUAAAUCAUUGUGGCUAGUUCAGAUGACUUUACUCCCUAAUAGAGGAAUUUAUGUCUCAGAUCUUAUUUACAUAGAAAUUGCAGGACAAAAAAAAAGAAAAAUUAUAUCAUUCACAUCAGUAACUGUGUGAUCUAUGUUCUUCUGAAAUUGAUUAACAUGUAUGGAGCUAUAAAGAGCUGUAAAAAAAAUGAAC